rnacentral:rRNA from 1 species
AUUGAACGCUGGCGGCAGGCCUAACACAUGCAAGUCGAGCGAGAGGCGGACGGGUGAGUAAUGUAGGGGGACUGCCUGAUAUAGGGGGAUGACUACUGGAAACGGUAGCUAAUACUGCAUACUAUCGGAUAACCCAUAUGGGAUUAGCUAGUUGGUGAGGUAAUGGCUGCACAAGGAGACGAUCCAUAGCUGGUCUGAGAGGAUGAUCAGCCACACUGGGACUGAGACACGGCCCAGACUCCUACGGAGGCAGCAGUGGGGAAUAUUGCGCAAUGGGCGCAAGCCUGAUGCAGCCAUGCCGCGUGUAUGAAGAAGGCCCUAGGGUUGUAAAGUACUUUCAGUCGGGAGGCGUUACCUACAGAAGAAGCACCGGCUAACUCCGUGCCAGCAGCCGCGGUAAUUC